CACGAUUUAUAUUGUCAAAAUAAUACACAUAAUAGUCAAUGACAUACCACAAAAGCUCGGUAGUGCUUCAAUAUAAGGAAUAGAUAAGUACGUUGUGAAAGAAUACACAUGGAGACAUCAAUCCAACAAACUUUAGAAGGACCUCGAUGCACACAGCUCUAUAUACCAACAGUUUUUGGAGAUGCUCCUCCGCCAUUUACUGAAGCUGCUCCAUCUUAUGACGAAAUACCUCCGCCAUUUACAGAACUACCCAACACUGUGACAUCUAUUGAAGGUCCCCCUUCGUCAACAUUAACAUCCGUGUUAUCCAAACGAUGUAGCUGCAUAUACUGUUAUAUAUUUCCUUUAUCGUGUUGUUUUCCAAUAAAGGAUUUAGGCACUUAAUUAGGUACGUUCUAGUCUCGUUGUAAUGCAUGUAUUUGUGUAUAACUAACUCGGCCAAACUUUAAUGACGUAUUGUACGUCAUAAAAUAAAAUUCUAAGAAAAC